rnacentral:rRNA from 1 species
GAUGAACGCUGGCGGCGUGCCUAAUACAUGCAAGUCGAGCGAACAGACGAGGAGCUUGCUCCUCUGACGUUAGCGGCGGACGGGUGAGUAACACGUGGAUAACCUACCUAUAAGACUGGGAUAACUUCGGGAAACCGGAGCUAAUACCGGAUAACAUGUUGAACCGCAUGGUUCAACAGUGAAAGACGGUCUUGCUGUCACUUAUAGAUGGAUCCGCGCCGCAUUAGCUAGUUGGUAAGGUAACGGCUUACCAAGGCAACGAUGCGUAGCCGACCUGAGAGGGGGAUCGGCCACCCUGGAACUGAGACACGGUCCAGACUCCUACGGGAGGCAGCAGUAGGGAAUCUUCCGCAAUGGGCGAAAGCCUGACGGAGCAACGCCGCGUGAGUGAAGAAGGUCUUCGGAUCGUAAAACUCUGUUAUUAGGGAAGAACAAAUGUGUAAGUAACUAUGCACGUCUUGACGGUAUCUAAUCAGAAAGCCACGGCUAACUACGUG